AGGGGCGCUCCCCUGCGGGCCCCGGACGUGGAGACGCUCGAGUCAGGCUGACGCGCGCGCCGGGAACGAACUCUUGCGUGUGACUUGGGAUGACCGGAUGGGAUGAGUGAUGCCAGUGGCAGUGGGAGAGAGGAUGAGGAGAAACGGAAUGAGGAAGUGCGCUCCUGUGUUCGCGCCCGUGCCUCCUCUCACACAGGCUCCACAGUGCUUCACCCAGCCCUGCGCACGCAUCUGUUUUCUACCUCUUAGGACUCACUUCUGCAAUAGGUGUCUUGGGGACACAAAGGAAUCCCCAAACCCAGGUGCCUCCACGUGUAAACUCCAAAUAAAGCUGCUGAAACAUCAACACUCCAUACGGGAAACAAGGGAAGGCCGCCCCCAAAUUUAAUUGUUACAGAAUUUUUAAAAUGUCGAUUACAAACACACCAUCAUUCUGAAAAAAAGAGAAAGAAGAAAGGGGAAGAAAGAAAAAAGAAAAAUUCAGGAAAACAGAGAGAAGAAAGUACUCACCCAAAUCCCAUCGACUAAUCGAUUUCUGGGACAUGACGUGGGAAGCCGUUUAUCCUAUGUUAAUGGCUAGUUACUCUUCAGAUGAACUUAAAAAUGGACUUGUCCAAGAUUGACCUUGUGUUGGUAAUUAUUGAAGCUAUGUAAUACAUUAAAGUAUUCCUCUAAUUUUUUAAUAUAUUUGAAAAAGUCCAUGCUAAAAGGUUUUUUUUAAGGAUUGAUUUGUCAAAUCCCUUUGCAAAUUCUUUUAAGAUUUUGGUCAGAAAUGAACUCUAUUAAUAGAUUGAGUGCUGUUUCCGGUCAUACCCGGAAGCAGGAGUUCAAGCCGCAGCUGGUAGGGAUUGGCGGCUGCUGGCCAUCUGAGUUUUAUUAAAACUGCUCGCCGCGAAGCCAGUCUUCAGCCAGAAUGUCCAGCAGAAACAACAACAAGCUGCCCAGCAACCUGACUGCAGUUACAGAAUCUGAUGAAGCGAGACCCACCACCCUCCAUCUAGGAGUUUCUACAGCAGUAUAAUCACUACACAUCCAAUGUGGAGAUUUUCAAAUUGCAACCAUAUAAACCCGGUAAAGAACUAGCAGAGCUGGUGGUGUUUAUGGCACAGAACGUCCUAAAUAUGUGCAUCUGAAUAAUAGGAGAGAAAGAGAGAAACUUCAGAAGAGCCUUUGCUUUGUUAUAGAUUAGUUACUGCUACCCAGGGUAUCUAAGUAAUUUUCCUCAAGUGGUGAAAGAUCUUCUGUCCUGUAAUCAUACUGUAUUGGAUCCAGAUCUUCGAAUGACAUUUUGCAAAGCUUUGAUCUUGCUGAGAAAUAAGAAUCUCAUCAAUCCAUCAAGCCUGCUAGAACUCUUCUUUGAACUUCUCUGUUGCCAUGAUAAGCUUCUGCAAAAGACUUCAUACACAUAUAUCGUGACUGAUAUCAAGAAUAUAAAUGCAAAACACAAGAAUAAAGUGGAUGUAGUAUUGUAAAAUUUCAUGUAUACCAUGUUGAGAGAUAGCAAUGCAACUGCAGCCAAGAUGUCUUUAGAUGUUAUGAUUGAACUCUACAGAAGGAACAUCUGGAAUGAUACCAAAACUGUCAAUGUUAUCACAACUGCAUGUUUCUCUUAGGUCACCAAGAUAUUAGUUGCUGCUUUGACAUUCUUUCUUGGAAAAGAUGAAGAUGAAAAACAGGCCAGUGACUCCGAAUCUGAGGAUGACGGACCAACAGCAAGAGACCUGCUAGCACAGUAUGCUACAGGGAACAAAGUUCCCAAAACAAGAAAAAGUUGGAAAAGGCAAUGAAAGUGCUCAAGAAACAAAAGAAGAAGAAAAAACCAGAGGUGUUUAACUUUUUAGCCGUUCACUUGAUUCAUGAUCCCCAAGAUUUUGCAGAAAAACUACUAAAGCAGCUUGAGUGCUGUAAGGAGAGGUUGGAAGUGAAGAUGAUGCUCAUGAACCUCAUCUCAGAUUGGUGGGAAUUCAUAAGCUCUUCCUCUUCAAUUUCUAUCACUUUUUGCGAAGGUUUCUGCAGCCCCACCAAAGAGAAGUAACAAAGAACCUUCUGUUUGCUGCACAAGCAUCUCAUCACCUAGUACACCCAGCGAUUAUUCAAUCAUUGCUUAUGACUGUGGCCAACAAUUUUGUUAACGACAAGAACUCUGGAGAAGCCAUGACAAUAGGAAUCAAUGCUGUAAAAGAGACAACAGCUCAGUGUCCUCUGGCCAUGACUGAAAAGCUUCUCCAAGACCUGGCUCAGUAUAAAACACACAAGGAUAAUAAUGUAAUGAUGUCUGCUAGAACUUUGAUUCGGCUCUUCCGAACACUGAAUCCUCAGAUGCUGCAGAAGAAAUUCUGGGGUAAGCCUACAGAAGCCUCCAUAGAAGCAAGAGUACAAGAAUAUGGAGAAUUAGAUGCUAAAGGUUACAUUCCAGGAGCAGAAGUUCUGGAAGUUGAGAAAGAGGAGAGUGCUGAAAAUGAUGAAGAUGGAUGGGAAAGUACCAGUCUCAGUGAGGAGGAGGAUGCCGAUGGCGAAUGGGUUGAUGUGCAACACUCUUCCAAUGAAGAACAGCAAGAAAUUUCCAAGAAGCUGAACACCAUGCCCAUGGAGGAGCAGAAAGCCAAAACUGCAGCCGUCAGCACCAGUCGAGUUUUAAGUUAGGAAGACUUCCAGAAAAUCCGCAUGGCGCAAAUGAGAAAAGAACUUGACGCUGUCCCCGGGAAAUCCCAGAAGAGGAAAUAUAUUGAAAUCGACAGUGAUGAAGAGCCGAGGGGUGAAUUACUUUCUCUUCCGGACAUUGAACGCCUUCAUAAAAAGCCAAAAUCUGACAAAGAGACAAGACUAGCAACUGCAAUGGCUGGAAAGACAGACCGAAAAGAAUUUGUGAGGAAGAAAACCAAAGUGAAUCCAUUUUCCAGUUCAAAAAGUAAAGAGAAGAAAAAACAGAAGAACUUUAUGAUGAUGUGGUAUAGCCAGAAUGUCUGGUCAGAAAAUAAGCGUUCCUUCUGAGAAAAACAGUUGGCGCUGCGAGAUGCCUUUUGAAAAGAGAAAAAGAAUGAAGUAACUUCCCAGAAAGUUUUCCAUUCCAAGAAGAAUGCUAAGUUUGUGUCAUUACUCUGAAAAUUGGUAAAUCAAGCAUGUUUGUUUACAUUAAAAAGUCCAGAAGCACUAUAUUAUGAAAACUGCUGAAAA